rnacentral:rRNA from 1 species
GACGAACGCUGGCGGCGUGCUUAACACAUGCAAGUCGAGCGGAGCGGCGGACGGGUGAGUAAUACCUAGGAAUCUGCCUGGUAGUGGGGGAUAACGUUCGGAAACGGACGCUAAUACCGCAUACUAUCAGAUGAGCCUAGGUGGGAUUAGCUAGUUGGUGCGGUAAUGGCCCACCAAGGCUACGAUCCGUAACGGGUCCGAGAGGAUGAUCAGUCACACUGGAACUGAGACACGGUCCAGGCUCCUACGGGAGGCAGCAGUGGGGAAUAUUGGACAAUGGGCGGAAGCAUGAUCCACCCAGGCCGCGUGUGUGAAGAAGGUCUUCGGAUUGUAAAGCACUUUAAGUUGGGAGGCGUUACCGACAGAAUAAGCACCGGCUAACUCUGUGCCAGCAGCCGCGGUAAUUC